rnacentral:precursor_RNA from 1 species
UGUGACGAGCAUCACCAGUCACUCUAUUUACCAUCGAUUAUUAGUUAUCCAUAGUGAUCAGCAGCUACAGGAAUUAUAAAUGAUGAUUAAUAAAUUAAUACUUGGGUGUUUGUCAUAUUUUUAUAAAUUAUUUUAUAUUUUAAUAAUUUUAUUUGAAUUUAAACACAAUUUACCAACUUUUUUUUUAUUUUAAAAAGAGAAAAUUAAAAAUAAUUUAAUUUCUUCUAUUCAUAAAAAUAUUGAGAAUAACGUUUUUAGAAAAUAAAAUGUUUUUCUAAUUUUUUUGAAAAAAAUGAUAAUAAUUAAUGUGAUGCCAUAUAUGUAACACCUGCAAUCUGUAAAUGAAAUUCAUAAUUUUUAAAAUUCUAAUUCUAAAUAUUUUAGUUGAAAAAGUUCAAAUAGAAGUAGUAAUAAAGAAUCACUUUCAUUAUGUUUGGAUGAAUGGAAAGAAAAAAAAAAUAAUAAUUAGAAAAAAAAAUAUAUUUUUAUUUUAUAUUCAAGUAUAGGAAAAAAAUAUUAAAAGAAAAUUUACUUUUUGAAUAAUAAAAUUAUAAUUACACUUCAAUAUUAAAAAAAAGUUAAAAAUAUAGAGAUAUUUUUAUAAUUUUAAAUAUUUUUCAUUAUUUUUUUCUAAUUUAGAGAAAAAAUAGAGUGAAAUUUAAUAUUUAUUUUCUCUUUAAUAUUUUAUUUCUUCUCUAACAUAAAUUGAAUGGAUAAUAAAGUUAUUUUAUUCUCAUAUUUUCCUUCUUUUCCAAUUUUUCUUUAAUCUAAAUACAGUAUUAAACUUGAUCGUAAUAGUUGUUGAUUUACAGAAAAAAUAAUAAUUUAAAGUAAAUAUUUAAAUUAUACAAAAAAAUGAAAAGCUACGUUUUUAAUACAUCUAAAAAUUCAAUCAUAUGAUUUUUUUAAAUAUGAUUUUCUUGAUAUUAAUUUGACAACAAUUCAAAUUUAAUGAUACUAAACUAUCUACAUUUAAAAAAUAAGUUUCACGUUUAAUUAUUGAUGAAUUUAUCAUAAAUCAUAUUUUGAGAAAAUUUCUCAAUUAAAAUAUAUUGAAAUUUAAUUCCCAUUAUACUUUUAAUAAAAGAAUAUUAUUGUAUAUACCCUUAAUAAAUUUAAUUUUAUAUAUCCUUAACAAUUAUAAAAUUAUAUGAAUGAAUUAAAAUAUAAAAUAUAAAUAAAUAUACAUUAAAAAAUAAAUUUAUACUUUUUAAUACAAAAUUAUAUUAACUAUAUGAAAUUUAAUUAAAUUUUAUAUUAUAGUAUUAAUUUUCAUUGUUAUAAUGUUGAGAUUUUAAUUUUUUAUUAAAAGAAAUUAAAAAAUAAUUAAUUUCAUUUCAUUUUUAAAUUUAAAUUGAACAGACUUUAUAUAAUUUUAUGUAAAAGUUUGCCCUUUAAUCUCAUAAUCUAGCUUCGCGACUGUAUAUAAUUAAUGGUUAACAAAGCUUUCAUGGUACUUAGAUUAAAAUAUUGCAGCAUAAGAACGUGCAAGAGAGCGAUUAACUCAGAAUCCAAGCAAAAAAUAUCGAUAAGAAGAAAUAAAAUCUCGUGGUCCAAAGCAAACAGAGGCAAAGGCAUGUGAUCGUAUCACUACACACUACAGGCGAAUCUGCUGUGAAGCCGGUUCCCGAGAGACUUUUUUUUCUUUUGUUUCUUGGUAGAAGCUCCUGCCCACCCACCAUUAUUAUUUAUGUCACUUAUCAAUCUGUUCUUUUCACCCAAAGGUCAUCAGUGGGGCACUAGUGGCGUCAAACUACUAUUACUAAAUGGGUAGUUCCAGCUAGGGUUUGCUAGGUGGUUUCUCAGUCAUUGCUUAUGUGGAUGGCUAUAAAAGGAUGUGUUAAAGGGUUUUGUUUUCUUGAGUCAGUUUAGGGUUCUUACAACAUAUACGAGGUCAUUAGGUCUUGGAUCUGUAAGAUUCUUUGGUGAUUUUAGAUGCCCAGUGUGGUUUUCUAUGUUUGUGUAGUGAAGAUGUUGCGUUUUCAGAGUAAAGUCACAGAAAUUGGUUUCAGAGCGUUGAAUGUAUUGGAUCUAAGGGUUUCUCGUAUAUGGUUUUCUCUAUAACUCUUUCUGCUGGGUUAGCUUAGCUCUAUUGUUGUAUUUUUCGACUCUUCCUUUUCUUCUUUGAUUCUUUCUAAUAUUUGUUUGUGCUGUUAUGGCCUUUCGAAGAUUAGAUGAGAUCUGUAAGAAUUUUGAUGUAACGCUGUGGAUUGACUUGUUUGGUAGUUUGUGUUUUUCUGGUGUUAGGGUUUGGUUUUUAUCAGUAUCUGUAUUAGGGUUAAGAAGUGGAGCUCCUUGAAGUCCAAUAGAGGAUCUUGCAGGGUAGAUUGAGCUGCUGAGCUAUGGAUCCCACAGCCCUAUCCCAUAAUAAAAAGAUCAGACUUCUUGGAUAGGCUUGCGGCUUGCAUAUCUCAGGAGCUUCAUUACCUCAAAUGUUAGAUCCUUGUUUGGAUUGAAGGGAGCUCUA